rnacentral:tRNA from 1 species
UCCUUUGUAGCUCAGUUGGUAAAGAAUCUGCCUGCAAUGCAGGAGACCCAGGUUCAAUUCCUGGGUUGGGAG